rnacentral:rRNA from 1 species
AUGUCCAGUUCAUCCGAGAAGGUCACCCUGGAAGGUCGCUCUACUGCGAGCGACCAAGUCGGCUUUCUUGUCCUCCUUUGGGACAUGAUUGCCCGGCUCAAAGAGUGCAGUAUCUGCCUCUACUACCUGGUCUACAAGUCGACGCCACACCUCCUCACCCAAAUAUUUACCGUAGAGGUGUAUGUGUGCCCCGGCACAUUGAAAGAUGGGAAGCCUCUCAUCUACCAAGGAGCAACCAUUCCCACAGCAAGGCUGGCCAUUCAAGCAACUGCCGAAGAAGCUGUCACCAGACUCCGCACCAUCUCCCCCAAGCUCGGAGCAAUGAGAGGUUACUGCUACUUUCCCCAUGCGAUAGGUAUGGACAAAGAGCUCACCUAUCCCCGCCCCUCCAAGGAAGAAGACCCCGCAAUUGUCCAGAUGAUCCGCACAUCCACGCCCAAGGAGUACUGCUACACCAGACCUAUGCCCAGCUGA